rnacentral:rRNA from 1 species
GACGAACGCUGGCGGCGUGCCUAAUACAUGCAAGUUGAGCGCUGAAGGUUGGUACUUGUACCAACUGGAUGAGCAGCGAACGGGUGAGUAACGCGUGGGGAAUCUGCCUUUGAGCGGGGGACAACAUUUGGAAACGAAUGCUAAUACCGCAUAACAACUUUAAACACAAGUUUUAAGUUUGAAAGAUGCAAUUGCAUCACUCAAAGAUGAUCCCGCGUUGUAUUAGCUAGUUGGUGAGGUAAAGGCUCACCAAGGCGAUGAUACAUAGCCGACCUGAGAGGGUGAUCGGCCACAGUGGGACUGAGACACGGCCCAAACUCCUACGGGAGGCAGCAGUAGGGAAUCUUCGGCAAUGGACGAAAGUCUGACCGAGCAACGCCGCGGGAGUGAAGAAGGUUUUCGGAUCGUAAAACUCUGUUGGUAGAGAAGAACGUUGGUGAGAGUGGAAAGCUCAUCAAGUGACGGUAACUACCCAGAAAGGGACGGCUAACUACGUG